AUUAGUGGCGAACGGGUGAGUAACACGUGAGUAACCUGCCCUUAACUCUGGGAUAAGCCUUGGAAACGGGGUCUAAUACUGGAUAUUGACUUUUCCUCGCAUGGGGAUUGGUUGAAAGAUUUAUUGGUUUUGGAUGGACUCGCGGCCUAUCAGCUUGUUGGUGAGGUAAUGGCUCACCAAGGCGACGACGGGUAGCCGGCCUGAGAGGGUGACCGGCCACACUGGGACUGAGACACGGCCCAGACUCCUACGGGAGGCAGCAGUGGGGAAUAUUGCACAAUGGGCGAAAGCCUGAUGCAGCGACGCCGCGUGAGGGAUGACGGCCUUCGGGUUGUAAACCUCUUUCAGUAGGGAACAAGGCCAGUGUUUAGCUGGUUGAGGGUACUUGCAGAAGAAGCGCCGGCUAACUACGUGCCAGCAGCCGCGGUAAUACGUAGGGCGCAAGCGUUAUCCGGAAUUAUUGGGCGUAAAGAGCUCGUAGGCGGUUUGUCGCGUCUGCCGUGAAAGUCCGGGGCUCAACCCCGGAUCUGCGGUGGGUACGGGCAGACUAGAGUGAUGUAGGGGAGACUGGAAUUCCUGGUGUAGCGGUGAAAUGCGCAGAUAUCAGGAGGAACACCGAUGGCGAAGGCAGGUCUCUGGGCAUUAACUGACGCUGAGGAGCGAAAGCAUGGGGAGCGAACAGGAUUAGAUACCCUGGUAGU
rnacentral:rRNA from 1 species